rnacentral:rRNA from 1 species
GCGGAGGAAAAGAAACUAACAAGGAUUCCCCUAGUAACUGCGAGUGAAGCGGGAAAAGCUCAAAUUUAAAAUCUGGUGGUCUUUUCAAGGCUACCCGAAUUGUAAUCUAGAGAAGUGUUAUCCGCGCUGGACCGUGUACAAGUCUCCUGGAAUGGAGCCUCAUAGAGGGUGAGAAUCCCGUCUCUGACAUGGACUACCAGGGCUUUUGUGAUGCGCUCUCAAAGAGUCGAGUUGUUUGGGAAUGCAGCUCAAAAUGGGUGGUAAAUUCCAUCUAAAGCUAAAUAUUGGCGAGAGACCGAUAGCGAACAAGUACCGUGAGGGAAAGAUGAAAAGAACUUUGGAAAGAGAGUUAAACAGUACGUGAAAUUGUUGAAAGGGAAACGCUUGAAGUCAGUCACGUUGGCCAGAAAUCAGCCUUGCAACCUGUGUGCUUGGUGUAUUUUCUGGUAAACGGGUCAGCAUCAAUUUUGACCGGUGGAUAAAGGCCAAAGGAAUGUGGCAUCUUUUGGAUGUGUUUAUAGCCUUUGGUCGCAUGCAUCAGUUGGGAUUGAGGAACUCAGCACGCCGCAAGGGCGGGUUUUGUACCACGUUUCGUGCUUAGGAUGCUGGCAUAAUGGCUUUAAUCGACCCGUCUUGAAACACGGGACCA